rnacentral:pre_miRNA from 2 species
AAAGGACGCAUCCAAAGGGAUCGCAUUGAUCCUAAAUCCCAUACGCAUAGUAUAUGGGUAUGAUAUACCGAGUUGGGAUCAUGCUAUCCUUUUGGAUUCCUUCUU